rnacentral:rRNA from 1 species
ACUCCUACGGGAGGCAGCAGUGGGGAAUUUUGGACAAUGGGCGCAAGCCUGAUCCAGCAAUGCCGCGUGCAGGAAGAAGGCCUUCGGGUUGUAAACUGCUUUUGUCAGGGAAGAAAUCCUCUGGGUUAAUACCGUCGGGGGAGUGACGGUACCUGAAGAAUAAGCACCGGCUAACUACGUGCCAGCAGCCGCGGUAAUACGUAGGGUGCGAGCGUUAAUCGGAAUUACUGGGCGUAAAGCGUGCGCAGGCGGUUGUGCAAGACAGGUGUGAAAUCCCCCGGGCUUAACCUGGGAACUGCACUUGUGACUGCACGGCUAGAGUACGGUAGAGGGGAUGGAAUUCCGCGUGUAGCAGUGAAAUGCGUAGAUAUGCGGAGGAACACCGGAUGGCGAAGGCAAUCCCCUGGACCUGUACUGACGCUCAUGCACGAAAGCGUGGGAGCAAACAGGAUUAGAUACCCCUGGUAGGAUAGCG